AAUGGAACAAUCCUGUGAUAAGCUUGAGAAUCACUAAUUGCAUUUUGGAGACAAGUUAGCUCAAAACGGUGUCUGCAGAUCAGUCAACUUCACGGAUUGGACUGCACUUG